AUCCAUCACCCAGUACACUCAGAUGAAUCGAUUCAUCCAGUUCACUGAAAAGAAUCAAUUCAAAAGAAAGAUUCCUUCAUGAACUGGAC